UAGGGAAUCUUCCGCAAUGGACGAAAGUCUGACGGAGCAACGCCGCGUGAACGAUGAAGGCCUUCGGGUCGUAAAGUUCUGUUGUUAGGGAAGAACAAGUACCAGAGUAACUGCUGGUACCUUGACGGUACCUAACCAGAAAGCCACGGCUAACUACGUGCCAGCAGCCGCGGUAAUACGUAGGUGGCAGGCGUUGUCCGGAAUUAUUGGGCGUAAAGCGCGCGCAGGCGGUUCCUUAAGUCUGAUGUGAAAGCCCACGGCUCAACCGUGGAGGGUCAUUGGAAACUGGGGAACUUGAGUACAGAAGAGGAGAGCGGAAUUCCACGUGUAGCGGUGAAAUGCGUAGAGAUGUGGAGGAACACCAGUGGCGAAGGCGGCUCUCUGGUCUGUAACUGACGCUGAGGCGCGAAAGCGUGGGGAGCGAACAGGAUUAGAUACCCUGGUAGUCCACGCCGUAAACGAUGAGUGCUAGGUGUUAGGGGUUUCCACCCUUAGUGCUGCAGUUAACGCAAUAAGCACUCCGCCUGGGGAGUACGGCCGCAAGGCUG
rnacentral:rRNA from 1 species